GCAAAGCGCCGCAAAGUGAAUAGGGAAAGGGAAGUAGGGAGUUUAGGGAAAAGGGGAAAAUUUUCGUACCAAUGGGAGGAUGGCCCACUGGGCUGACUGCUGACGUUGAGGACCUCCUCUCCCUUACAUCACUCAUAUACGUGCCGUCGGUGCCGUCUCGUGUUAUCUGACCUACUGAGACCACCAACCGGCCAACGAUCGGAACUGACCACGCAAAACGAUGUUUCCUUUGGACAAGAAACAAGAACGGGCCGCGGCCUGGAGAAGGUGCGGGAGGUCUCGGAGAUGGAAACGCAGACUCCCAGUAAGGGACGCCUCCACUUUGGUGACACUCAGAGACGACAACGUUAUGGUCCUGCUAUCAUGGAGUGGAGACUGGUCGAGACAACCCAAGUGUGAACGGGAUAAAGAAGUUCCUCAGAUGUUCCAGGGAAUGGCAAUGAAAGACGUACCCCAGCUGCCUCCGUCGGGGGACGUCCUACCAGCGUGUGCGCUCUGCGGAACAGGUAUCGUGUCCCGUGCGAGGCACAACCAAAACGCUGGGCAUCCUAGCCCCGAUGACGUUGCCAGGGAGGGAAUCACCGUGCCUGCGAUGGAUGCGGGCCGACUUCCAAGCACAGCCACUUCCGAUGACGUUAUAGGAGAAUGAGUCACGAGAUCAUAGUAAUAAGAAAUUGAUAAUAAAAGUACAUAU